rnacentral:rRNA from 1 species
UACCUGGUUGAUUCUGCCAGUAGUCAUAUGCUUGUCUCAAAGAUUAAGCCAUGCAUGUCUAAGUAUAAGCAAUUAUACCGCGAAACUGCGAAUGGCUCAUUAUAUAAGUUAUCGUUUAUUUGAUAGCACAUUACUACAUGGAUAACUGUGGUAAUUCUAGAGCUAAUACAUGCUAAAAAUCCCGACUUCGGAAGGGAUGUAUUUAUUAGAUUAAAAGCCAACG